rnacentral:rRNA from 1 species
UACGUAGGGGGGCAAGCGUUGUCCGGAUUUAUUGGGCGUAAAGAGCGUGUAGGCGGCCUGAAAGGUCAGCUGUGAAAACUCGAGGCUCAACCUCGAGACGUCGGUUGAAACCAUCUGGCUAGAGUCCGGAAGAGGAGUGUGGAAUUCCCGGUGUAGCGGUGAAAUGCGCAGAUAUCGGGAAGAACACCCGUGGCGAAGGCGGCACUCUGGGACGGUACUGACGCUGAGACGCGAAAAGCGUGGGGGAGCGAACAGG